rnacentral:pre_miRNA from 11 species
GACCGCAUGGGAUAAUAGAUUAUCCCGUGCGUUCGGGUUAUGCGGACUGCACGGGAUUAUCUAUUAUCCCGUGCGCUC